GCGGAGUUUCAUCAGAUAGAAGGUAUCUAUGAGUUAACAAAAUAGAAGCUGGGGUUAGGGCUUUCUUAGGUUUUCAUCAGGGGUUUGUGUGCUGCUCAUGCCAGCUUUUUAUCUGGCAUGAAGCAUCAAUACCUAAAGUGACCAUUUUUUAUUUUUGUGUCAAUACAUUUUAUUUGGAUGUGUCCCAAUCCAAGUACCUUUGCAAAGGUAUGGUGGGGCCAGACUGCUUUAGUGAUAAAGAAUGUCAGUUCAUUUUGUAUGGUAAAGUUAGGUCACUAUAUAAUGGAUCAAGCAUCACUGUUCAAAAAUCACUUUACACAUUGUAAUUUUGCUGAUCAGUUAACUCUCCAAACUCCUUCAUUUGGUUUCAGGUCUGGUGUGUGAUCGAGGCCU
rnacentral:misc_RNA from 1 species